UGGCCAAAGAUGAAAACUAUGAGCUGACUGUGGAUAUUUCUGUAGAAUAGCGUGCACCAUAUAUGAUGGCUUAAAGGAUUUUCUGAGGCCA